rnacentral:rRNA from 1 species
UGAGGAUUGGUGCUUGCACUAAUCCAAAGAGUUGCGAACGGGUGAGUAACGCGUAGGUAACCUACCUCAUAGCGGGGGAUAACUAUUGGAAACGAUAGCUAAUACCGCAUGACACUAGAGUACACAUGUACUCAAUUUAAAAGGAGCAAUUGCUUCACUAUGAGAUGGACCUGCGUUGUAUUAGCUAGUUGGUGAGGUAACGGCUCACCAAGGCGACGAUACAUAGCCGACCUGAGAGGGUGAUCGGCCACACUGGGACUGAGACACGGCCCAGACUCCUACGGGAGGCAGCAGUAGGGAAUCUUCGGCAAUGGACGGAAGUCUGACCGAGCAACGCCGCGUGAGUGAAGAAGGUUUUCGGAUCGUAAAGCUCUGUUGUUAGAGAAGAACGGUAAUGGGAGUGGAAUAUCCAUUACGUGACGGUAACUAACCAGAAAGGGACGGCUAACUACGUGCCAGCAGCCGCGGUAAUACGUAGGUCUCGAGCGUUGUCCGGAUUUAUUGGGCGUAAAGCGAGCGCAGGCGGUUCUAUAAGUCUGAAGUAAAAGGCAGUGGCUCAACCAUUGUAUGCUUUGGAAACUGUAGAUCUUGAGUGCAGAAGGAGAGAGUGGAAUUCCAUGUGUAGCGGUGAAAUGCGUAUAUAUAUGGAGGAACACCGGUGGCGAAAGCG